GAUGAACGCUGGCGGCGUGCUUAACACAUGCAAGUCGAACGAAGCACUUUAACCUGAUUCUUCGGAUGAAGGUUUUUGUGACUGAGUGGCGGACGGGUGAGUAACGCGUGGGUAACCUGCCUCAUACAGGGGGAUAACAGUUAGAAAUGACUGCUAAUACCGCAUAAGACCACGGAGUCGCAUGGCUCAGUGGGAAAAACUCCGGUGGUAUGAGAUGGACCCGCGUCUGAUUAGGUAGUUGGUGGGGUAACGGCCUACCAAGCCAACGAUCAGUAGCCGACCUGAGAGGGUGACCGGCCACAUUGGGACUGAGACACGGCCCAAACUCCUACGGGAGGCAGCAGUGGGGAAUAUUGCACAAUGGGGGAAACCCUGAUGCAGCGACGCCGCGUGAGCGAAGAAGUAUUUCGGUAUGUAAAGCUCUAUCAGCAGGGAAGAAAAUGACGG
rnacentral:rRNA from 1 species